ACCACGACACAGACUGCAAGAGAGAUCUUGAUGGUUCUUCUGAAGCGGUACCACAGUGGCCAUGCGAUGAGCAAAUACCUGAAACACAAGAUACACAGUCUAUCAUCAGAUACAGAAUAUUCCUGACUUUGAGGAGCUUCAGAUUUAUAUGGAGUGGUAGGCUAAGAGGUCUGUCAUAGCUGAUCAGCUGCACCUGAGGAGGGAGUGGCCCAAAGGAUAUAAAAGGACUGCUGGCCCAGGAGUCUCUCUCUUUCUUUUCAGCUGAACAGCAGCACCCCGUCCACAUGGCUUUCACUUUAGAUUAGUUUGUGUUGAACUUCUGUUUCUUUACUUUUACAGCCAACAUUUCAUGCAUCCACACACCCACUUUA